GACGAACGCUGGCGGCGUGCUUAACACAUGCAAGUCGAGCGGUAAGGCCCUUUCGGGGGUACACGAGCGGCGAACGGGUGAGUAACACGUGGGUGACCUGCCCUCAGCUCUGGGAUAAGCCUGGGAAACCGGGUCUAAUACCGGAUAUGACUCCAUGACGCAUGUUGUGGGGUGGAAAGCCUUGUGCGGCUGAGGAUGGGCCCGCGGCCUAUCAGCUUGUUGGUGGGGUGAUGGCCUACCAAGGCGACGACGGGUAGCCGGCCUGAGAGGGCGACCGGCCACACUGGGACUGAGACACGGCCCAGACUCCUACGGGAGGCAGCAGUGGGGAAUCUUGCGCAAUGGGCGAAAGCCUGACGCAGCGACGCCGCGUGAGGGAUGACGCC
rnacentral:rRNA from 1 species